rnacentral:rRNA from 1 species
GGUUAAGUUAGAAAGGGCGCACGGUGGAUGCCUUGGCACUAGGAGCCGAAGAAGGACGGCACUAACACCGAUAUGCUUCGGGGAGCUGUAAGUGAGCGAUGAUCCGGAGAUUUCCGAAUGGGGAAACCCAG